UACGGAGGGGGCUAGCGUUGUUCGGAAUUACUGGGCGUAAAGCGCACGUAGGCGGACCAUCAAGUUGGGGGUGAAAUCCGGGGCUCAACCCCGGAACUGCCUCCAAAACUGCUGGUCUGGAGGUCGAGAGAGGUGAGUGGAAUUCCGAGUGUAGAGGUGAAAUUCGUAGAUAUUCGGAGGAACACCAGUGGCGAAGGCGGCUCACUGGCUCGAUACUGACGCUGAGGUGACGAAGCGUGGGGAGCAACAGGA
rnacentral:rRNA from 1 species